UGGAUGUUAUCUGGGCCACUAAGAAAUUGGGUCUGAAAAUACCUCCAGGGUCUGUCCCAAACUGACCUGAAAAGUCUGUAAAGAGAAUACACUUUGGGCACCAGGUCAGUUCAUAUAGAGUCUGAUGGAAGGAAGAAUUGAUCUGUCAGCUGCCAUUUUGCCUCGGUCAAAGGUCAAAAACUUGCCCCAUUGGGCAUUAAUUUCCUCGCACUUCCCAAUUGCACAUAUGCGGGCAAUGUAUAUACAUGUGGGCAGGUCUUUCCUCCAGGAAAACCUGAAGGGGGAAGUGAGAGAAGUGGGGCGUGGGCACAAAGGGUGGGUUUGGGGAAACAGCAGACAACUCAGGACUUUUGAGUUCGUCCCUCCCGGAGCAAAAGCUUGAACCGACACAACCGGCUGAAAUCCUCCCCGGUUCCUCCCUCCUGCAAACGACUUUGAUAUUUAUUGCAGCUGCCUGUGUUUGCAGCGCUCUCCCGGCUCUGCUCCGUCCCAGAAGAGGCACCGGCACGUCUCGCUGCCCGCGUCCUGUAGCCCUACCUCUGUGCAGCCCUUCCCUCCCCAGUAAAAUGUUCUCAGCGCACAAAAGCCGCCGCUGAAGGGAAGGAACAGCUUCGGGCCGAGAGGGAGGGAGCUGGCCGGCUGCACCAUCUGCAGUGGAAAACGGACGCCGCUCACCCCGCCUAGGAAACUAAUGGAGCGUCCCUAAGAGACCCAAACUCCAGCUUGGCUCACCCCAGCUUUCUCCCCCACCUCCAGACCCCCAGAACGUGGAAAAGCUGACUGCAAAAUUUACAUGGAAGGGCCAUAAACCAAAAAUAGAGCCACAAUACUCCUGAAGAACAGGAAGAAGAGAAACUUGACCUACCAGAUGUCAGGAACGCUUAUAAAGCUACGCUUCCUCUCCUUCUUUGAGUCUGAAUGGAAAUGUAAGGUGUCAGGACAAUGUCUAUCUAAAAUGGAAUAAGGAGGU